AUUUUGUUUCAACCUACUGGAUUCAAAACAUGUUGUAUUUUACUGGCUGGCAAGGAGCUUUAUCUGAUAUUUUCCCUGAUAUACCUGCCUGCUGAAUUGUCUUAGAGGAGGGAGAAAUCUUCUGGAACUUUAAUUUGACAUGGGAAUUGGCUCAGUUGCUACUGUGUAAUCUUUAGAAUGACUUUUCAAACUGAUGGAAUAACAUUUUCCCUUCCCUGAUCCAGCUCAAAUGCAGUCUGUUUGAAGAGCUUGUUUUUAAAUACCUUGCAUCUUAAUUUUGAUGGGAGGCCAAAAUGCCCAUUCCAUCAAAACAUUUUGUUUUAACCUACUGGAUUCAAAACAUGUUGUAUUUUACUGGCUGGCAAGGAGCUUUAUCUGAUAUUUUCGCUGAUAUACUUGCCUGCCUGCAGCUCAGCAUAGCGCAAACCUCAUGAGAAAAUUAAUAUCAGCAUGUGCAACAUUGUUGCUAAAUAUCUGUUGCAAUUAUCUGGGUGCUGAUGCAUAUUAUCUACUGGCUAUGCAGACGCUUCUUUUUCCCUGAGACUGAAUUGUCUUCGGAUCACCUGGUAAUACCAAUGAAUCGAAAAUUGAGUGCUUAACUAGCAGAUCCUGUUGUUCAGAGUAAGGAGACAUUAUUAGCCAGUGACAUAAUGUCUGCUAUAUUUUCUGAUUAGGAACUUGCCUUGUUAAACCUGAAUGGAAAAGUGAACAAACACAAGACAGACCUUAAAAAACAAAAAGUGAAUCCACAAAUAGUGGAAGAUAUAAUAAAAUAUGUUAGUCAGGUGAAAAAGCUGGAUUUUGAUAAGCAGCCGGAGAUCAAAUUGAAUUUAUAUAAGUCCAUCAAAAAUAUGUGCAGCAAUUUUGGCAAGCAAGAAAUUGUGAAGAAGAUAAUGGCUGCAGAGCUUGAGCGACUCAAGGCAGCUGGAACCCCUCAAGUUAAUGUGGAUGAAGAAAAUGAGUGAACUUUUUGUAGUUUCAAGUGACUCAUGGUGCAGCUAUUCCAAUAUAUCUUUUAGUUUUUAAUUGUGU